CCUGCCAGUGUCUCCGCCGGUUGAAAGCGCGUGUCUGCGUCGGGUUCUGUUGGAGUGCGUUCGGUGUGCCGUGGGUCCGCGCUGCUUCCACCCAACUUCCUGUUAGUUUCUCUCCUGUCACAAUGGCAUGAUCUCGGCUCACUGCGACCUCUGCUUCCUGGGUUCAAGGAUUCUCCUGCCUCAGCCUCCCAAGUAGCUGGGAUUACAGGUGCAUGCCAAUAUACCCGGCUAAUUUUUUUGUAUUUUUGGUAGAGACUGGGCUUCACCAUGUUGGUCAGGC
rnacentral:lncRNA from 10 species